CGAACGGGGAGAUUCAUCGUCAGCGACGCUGGCUUCGCGUCGGUGGGCGAUGUCCCGCGGGGCCUCGCGGCUCGCGCGCGGGCACGCUGCCGUGCGUCGAUGUCCGGCGUUCGUCGUCGUGCACUUCUCCCCUAGUAGAACGUCGCGACCCGCUGGGUGUCGGUCUACGGCCCGGGUGCGGUGACUGACGCGUCGCCGGUAAAACGGCACGCGUCAAACCCCCGAUCGCCCGGCCGGCUGCCCGGCGGUACACGCAAGGUAUCAGGCCGCACCUCAACUCAGUGCGUCGAGGCCGUCGCAAGCGCGCGCCACGGUACCCGGAGGUAAACGGACCUGGCGCCGUCACCGGUCCUGGCCCGCUGUUGGUCGUACGGUUAACCUUCGACAGGCCUGCGAACGUCCCGCGGCCGGCCCCUCGCGGGUCGUCGCGGUGACCGAUACCGGUCGGCGACGCUACUGCUUUGGGUACUCUUAGGACCC
rnacentral:rRNA from 1 species